CUGAAGGUAUUGGAUUGUGUGAUCCAACUGAUGAGAACAAAAGUUCGAAACCUUCA
rnacentral:hammerhead_ribozyme from 1 species